rnacentral:rRNA from 1 species
UACGUAGGUGGCAAGCGUUGUCCGGAUUUACUGGGCGUAAAGAGCGCGCAGGCGGUCGAUUUAGUCGCGUGUGAAAGCCCCCGGCUCAACUGGGGAGGGUCACGCGAUACUGAUCGACUCGAAGGCAGGAGAGGGUAGUGGAAUUCCCGGUGUAGUGGUGAAAUGCGUAGAUAUCGGGAGGAACACCAGUGGCGAAGGCGAAUCACUGGACCGCAUCUGACGCUGAGGCGCGAAAGCUAGGGGAGCAAACAGG